CAGCCGUAAACUAUGCUCGCUAGGUGUCAGGGACGGUGCGACCGUUUCUGGUGCCGCAGGGAAGCCGUGAAGCGAGCCACCUGGGAAGUACGGUCGCAAGGCUGAAACUUAAAGGAAUUGGCGGGGGAGCACUACAACGGGUGGAGCCUGCGGUUUAAUUGGAUUCAACGCCGGAAAUCUUACCGGGACCGACAGCAACAUGAAGGCCAGGCUGAAGACUUUGCCGGAUUAGCUGAGAGGUGGUGCAUGGCGUAGUCGUGU
rnacentral:rRNA from 1 species